rnacentral:rRNA from 1 species
GUGCCAGAGCCGUGGUAAUACGUAAGUGGCAAGCGUUAUCCGGAAUUACUGGGCAUAAAGAGUUCGUAGGCGGUUAAUCAAGCCAAUAGUGAAAUCCACCAGCCUAACUGGUGUAAGCUAAUGGAACUGAUUAACUUGAGUACAGGAGAGGAAAGUGGAAUUCCUAAUGUAGUAGUGAAAUGCGUAGAUAUUAGGAAGAACAUCAGUAGCGAAGGCGACUUUCUGGACUGUAACUGACGCUGAGGAACGAAAGCGUGGGGAGCGAACAGGAUUAGAUACCCUGGUAGUCC